rnacentral:lncRNA from 1 species
UCUGCUCUAAAGAACAAAGACUAAAAAGGAGGAAGCAUCGAGGCAAUGGCUCCUGAGAGGAGGGAAGUGCCGCCGAAAAGAGGGUCCAUCAAACGCCGAAUAUUCACUCCUGUGUGUAGAAGGUUGGGGCAGAUGUUUGCUUCCAUCUGGAACUACUUCCGUUAGUCCUCCCUCUAUGAGUAACAAUAAACUUUCAUAUGGAGUCUAAGAUGUUGUAUCUUUAUUGUACAAUGGUUUUCUACAGGGUGUUGUUUAUCUUAUUCCAUUCUUGUUAGAGUGUAAUGGCUUGUGCUCUUUCCUUG